GCUUGCGUUAGUUCAGUGGUAGAGCAACUCUACCUGUGACCGAGGAGUCUACGCACCGGAGGCCGGAAAGACACGUGGGCGUCACAGGGUGGGUGGCCGGGGGUUCGAUUCCCUCACGCAGCG
rnacentral:tRNA from 1 species